CUUUGCACACGCGGGAGCUCGGAGCACCGGGCUGAGAGGGCGCUGACCUUCGUCUUCGCGGUGUUUCACGUGGAACCAACGGUGUUUCACGUGAAACCUGCCGGACGGGAAUCGCUGCGUCGACCGCCGAACCUGUUACCGGGUAAUGCCGGCGUAGGGAGUAGGUCUCAUGACCAA
rnacentral:ncRNA from 1 species